CCUAAUACGGAAAGAAUAGUAAAUAAAUACAUGCAUAUGACUGGAGAAAUAAGAAGUAAAGUUAGAGGUAAAUUUAGGUAUACAAUUUAAAUAUCAAAUACAUGCAUAGAAGUAAAAAUAAUUAGCGGCAAUCGUCAUGUUAAUUAAAAAUAUAAAUAAAUAGAUAAAAGUAAAAAUAAUUAGCGGCAAGUCAACUGUUACAAUCAAGAGUCAAAUAUUACAAUAAACAACUAAGCGUAUAUAAUUAUAUUACAAUUUAUUCAACAACGAAAGAUACGCAUGGUGCAGGCAUUCAGUAUCUGUUUGUAAAUUGAGGCUAUUAUUUUGUAGUUGAAUAUGUAACAUUUCAGAUGUCAGUCGCCUGCCUAAGAAGCAUUCGUUAUCUAAGGUUUUUAUGUUCUCCCCGUCAAAAUCAUGGUUGCAAUGUUCGUAUUCCAAUUGAUAUGUUUACGAUGAUCCGUGAUUCUGGUUUUCAAUUUCCUACCGGUCAAUACAUGUGUUCGCGCACUCUUUACCCGCGCUGACUCUCAUUAGCCUAUUUCUAAUUCAAUCAUUUAUAACAGUUAAAGAUAAUACUAACCUGUAAAAUUUUACGGAUGUAAUAAAACUAACUGAUUUUUAUAAAUUUUUGUGUGCUGAACAAGAAUCCGUUGUCAGAAUUUGGCAAAAUAAAAACGAUUAUUAUGUUCUGCGUGAUACCAUUGUUUUUGUGAUAGCUAAAUUCUAUAAGUUUCUAAAUACAAUCCGCUUUGUUCUCGAAUCUACCUAUUUUCAAUUCAACAGUAUAUAUAAACAAAAUUUUGACUCUCCCAUAGGCUCUCCGUUGUCCCCAUCGCUGAUUUAGUUUUGCAAGAUCUUGAGACAGUGGUGCUUAGAAUUUUUGACUUUCACGUUCCUUUUUAUUUCCGAUACGUGGAUGAUAUCGCUUUAACGAUACCUUCAGAUAAAGUAGUUUUCAUUUUGGAAUCUUUCAAUGCUUUUCAUCCUCGACUUCAAUUCACUAUGAAAAUUGGAAACAAAACUCUAAACUUUCUGGAUAACGCCAUAGUUUUUAAUGACGGUUUAGUUGAGUUUGACUGGUAUCAUAAACCGAGGUUUUCAAGUCGCUAUUUGAACUUUAACUCUUGACACCCUGUCUCGCAGAAGCGUGGUGUCAUCAUGGGCCUCGUUGAUCGCGCCUUUUUUUGUCCCAUCCAAAAUUUCACGAGAAGAACUUGAAAUUCAUAGUUAAUAUUCUCUUAGACAACGACUAUCCCUUGGAUUUCAUCUUUAACACUAUUCGAGUUUGACUGAGAUGUCUCUUUGCUAAGAAAUCCAAAAAACAUGUCAACACCCUAGACGUAGAAAAAAAAAUUACAUAGUUUACCGUUCCUUACUCUCCUUUAAUUUCUGACAGAUAAUAUCUUUAGAAUAAUAAUAUAAUUUAAUAAUAUCUUUUAUUACUCAAAUAUUAAAACUGCCUUUUACAGUAUGAAUAAGCUCCGUAAAUUUAUUAAAGUUCAAAAAGAUUCUCUUCCAAUUUCUUUUCGUAAAAAUGUAGUUUAUAAAGUCUCUUGCCGCGAUUGCGAUGCGUCUUACGUCAGGCAGACCGGUAGACAGUUAAAAACGUAUUUCCGAACAUCGAAAUCACAUCCAUAGAUACCUCUACCAAUUCUGUUAUUACUGAUCAUAGAAUUCAAUUGUGUCAUAAAUUUGACUGAAACGGCGUUCAGAUACUUCACCAUGAGAGGUUUUUUCACAAACAACUCAUCUCAGAAAUGUUACACAUUAAUCAACAAAGAAAUGGCCUUAACUACAGUCUGACACUGAAUGCGUCUGUAUCAUGCUUACUUAUCGAUCGUCAAUAAAUAACCUACGUGUUUUGUUUAUCUUACGUACUAUUUGUUUCGCGCUUAUUUAUAUUAUACUAUAUCAAAGCUUACGCGAAGCAUCGGUUUACUGGCUUAGUGCCUCUUUGACCAUCGUACUGUACGGUUCUUAUUAUAACUAAGUCCGCAACGUUUCAUUUUAAAUUUCUGAAUUUUGACAGUACUUACUUGUACCUGCGAUGUCUUAUUGUAAUAAGUUUAACUUGGAGCGCUAUUCGAUGCUGCGAUCUCUGUUUCUGCUCUUUUCAUUUACAGUGUAAGCUUGUACACAUUUUCAAGCCAAAUAACUCGUAAUGCAUGUCACUUCUCGACUAGGAAGCCCUCAACCUCACUACAGACAAAACGCAAUUUAACUCAUUUUUUUAUGUAUUUACGCUGAGGAUGGCUCAAAACUAGAGCCAAACGUUUGCGAUAUUUAUAAUUAAAUUUUUAUGAAAAUUUUCCAUGUAA